UCAGGCCUAACACAUGCAAGUCGAGCGGAAACGAGUUAUCUGAACCUUCGGGGAACGAUAACGGCGUCGAGCGGCGGACGGGUGAGUAAUGCCUAGGAAAUUGCCCUGAUGUGGGGGAUAACCAUUGGAAACGAUGGCUAAUACCGCAUGAUGCCUACGGGCCAAAGAGGGGGACCUUCGGGCCUCUCGCGUCAGGAUAUGCCUAGGUGGGAUUAGCUAGUUGGUGAGGUAAGGGCUCACCAAGGCGACGAUCCCUAGCUGGUCUGAGAGGAUGAUCAGCCACACUGGAACUGAGACACGGUCCAGACUCCUACGGGAGGCAGCAGUGGGGAAUAUUGCACAAUGGGCGCAAGCCUGAUGCAGCCAUGCCGCGUGUGUGAAGAAGGCCUUCGGGUUGUAAAGCACUUUCAGUCGUGAGGAAGGCGGGUACGUUAAUAGCGUAUUCGUUUGACGUUAGCGACAGAAGAAGCACCGGCUAACUCCGUGCCAGCAGCCGCGGUAAUACGGAGGGUGCGAGCGUUAAUCGGAAUUACUGGGCGUAAAGCGCAUGCAGGUGGUUUGUUAAGUCAGAUGUGAAAGCCCGGGGCUCAACCUCGGAAUAGCAUUUGAAACUGGCAGACUAGAGUACUGUAGAGGGGGGUAGAAUUUCA
rnacentral:rRNA from 1 species